rnacentral:rRNA from 1 species
CCUACGGGUGGCAGCAGUGGGGAAUAUUGCACAAUGGGGGGAACCCUGAUGCAGCAACGCCGCGUGGGUGAAGAAGUACCUCGGGAUGUUAAGCUCUGUCAGCAGAGAAGUAAAUGACGGUACCUGACCAAGAAGCCCCGGCUAACUACGUGCCAGCAGCCGCGGCAAUACGUAGGGGGCCAGCGUUAUCCGGAUUUACUGGGCGUAAAGGGAGCGUAGACGGCAAGGCAAGUCUGGAGUGAAAGCCCGUGGCCCAACCACGGGACUGCUUUGGAAACUGUCUUGCUGGAGUGCAGGAGGGGUAAGCGGAAUUCGUAGUGUAGCGGUGAAAUGCGUAGAUAUUAGGAGGAACACCGAUGGCGAAGGCGGCUUACUGGACUGUAACUGACGUUGAGGCUCGAAGGCGUGGGGAGCAAACAGGAUUAGAUACCCGGGUAGUC